rnacentral:rRNA from 1 species
UACGUAGGGUGCGAGCGUUAAUCGGAAUUACUGGGCGUAAAGCGCACGUAGGCGGCUUUGCAAGUUAGAGGUGAAAGCCCGGAGCUCAACUCCGGAAUUGCCUUUAAAACUGCAUCGCUAGAAUUGUGGAGAGGUGAGUGGAAUUCCGAGUGUAGAGGUGAAAUUCGUAGAUAUUCGGAAGAACACCAGUGGCGAAGGCGACUCACUGGACACAUAUUGACGCUGAUACACGAAAGCGUGGGGAGCAAACAGG